CCCUUAGAUGUUCUGGGCCGCACGCGCGCUACACUGACGGAGGCAGCGAGCGUGCCCUUCGCCGGCAGGUGCGGGCAAUCUUGCGAGUCUCCGUCGUGCUGGGGAUAGAUGGUUGCAAUUGUCGAUCUUGAACGAGGAAUUCCUAGUAAGCGCGAGUCAUCAGCUCGCGCUGAUUACGUCCCUGCCCUUUGUACACACCGCCCGUCGCUACUACAGAGUGCCCGUGUCCAAGAAACGGUCGGACCUGUGCGGCCUCUCCGGGCGACCGGAGGGCCGUUACGGGGAAGACCCUUUAUUUGACGCGGGUCGAUGAAGUAAAAGUCGUAACA
rnacentral:rRNA from 1 species